rnacentral:rRNA from 1 species
UACGGGGGGGGCAAGCGUUGUUCGGAAUUACUGGGCGUAAAGGGCUCGUAGGCGGCCAACUAAGUCAGACGUGAAAUCCCUCGGCUCAACCGGGGAACUGCGUCUGAUACUGGCGGGCUUGAAUUCGGGAGAGGGAUGUGGAAUUCCAGGUGUAGCGGUGAAAUGCGUAGAUAUCUGGAGGAACACCGGUGGCGAAGGCGGCAUCCUGGACCGACAUUGACGCUGAGGUGCGAAAGCGUGGGGAGCAAACAGG